rnacentral:rRNA from 1 species
UACAGAGGUCCCAAGCGUUGUUCGGAUUUACUGGGCGUAAAGGGUGCGUAGGUGGUCGGGUAAGUCUCAUGUGAAAUCUCCAAGCUUAACUUGGAAAUGGCAUGGGAUACUAUUCGGCUAGAGGAUUGGAGGGGGGACUGGAAUUCCCGGUGUAGCAGUGAAAUGCGUAGAUAUCAGGAGGAACACCAGCGGCGAAGGCGGUGCUCUGGGCCGGAACUGACGCUGAGGAGCGAAAGCGUGGGGAGCGAACAGG